rnacentral:rRNA from 1 species
CGUCUAUAUACGUAUAGCAUAUCAAUAAGCGGAGGAAAAGAAACUAACAAGGAUUCCCUUAGUAACGGCGAGUGAAGCGGGAAGAGCUCAAAUUUGAAAUCUUCAAGGUUCUACCUUGACGAAUUGUAGUUUAUAAGAAGUGUUUUCUGUUAGUAGGAGUGGCAAAAGUUCUUUGGAAUAGGACAUCAUAGAGGGUGAGAAUCCCGUAUUUGGUCAUUCUUUCUAGCUUUGUGAUACACUUUCAACGAGUCGGAUUGUUUGGGAAUGCAGUCCAAAAUGGGUGGUAAAUUUCAUCUAAAGCUAAAUAUUGGCGAGAGACCGAUAGCGAACAAGUACCGUGAGGGAAAGAUGAAAAGAACUUUGAAAAGAGAGUUAAACAGUACGUGAAAUUGUCAAAAGGGAAGCGUUUGACACCAGUGUUGUUUUUCCGAAAAUCAAUUACGAAUGUUUUAUUUUUGAGAAGUUAUGACUUCAUCGGCUUGCUUCUCUCUUUAUGAAACUUUCUUAAUGCACUUUUCGGUUAACAAGUCAACAUCAAUUUCUUUUGUUGUAAAAGGGUAUGAGGAAGGUGGCUUUCUUUUCGGAGAAAGUGUUUAUAGCCUUGUACCUCUGCAAUCGGAGAGAUUGAGGUCUGCAGCGUAGACCCUUCGGGGUUAGAUACAUUUGUGCUAAGUUAUAGCUUUUCAUAGACAACUUGUUGACUAUGUUUAGUCUUGUAGCUCACUCGCUUAUGCUACUUUACCUACGCUUAGGAUGUUGACACACGCGCGUGCUCG